CCUACGGGGGGCUGCAGUGGGGAAUAUUGGACAAUGGGGGCAACCCUGAUCCAGCCAUGCCGCGUGUGUGAAGAAGGCCCUCGGGUUGUAAAGCACUUUCAGUGAGGAAGAACGCCUGGUGGUUAAUACCCAUCAGGAAAGACAUCACUCACAGAAGAAGCACCGGCUAACUCCGUGCCAGCAGCCGCGGUAAUACGGAGGGUGCGAGCGUUAAUCGGAAUUACUGGGCGUAAAGCGCGCGUAGGUGGAUUGAUAAGCCGGUUGUGAAAGCCCCGGGCUCAACCUGGGAACGGCAUCCGGAACUGUCAAGCUAGAGUGCAGGAGAGGAAGGUAGAAUUCCCGGUGUAGCGGUGAAAUGCGUAGAGAUCGGGAGGAAUACCAGUGGCGAAGGCGGCCUUCUGGACUGACACUGACACUGAGGUGCGAAAGCGUGGGUAGCAAACAGGAUUAGAUACCCGAGUAGUC
rnacentral:rRNA from 1 species